rnacentral:rRNA from 1 species
AAGGGAUCUUCCACAAUGGGCGCAAGCCUGAUGGAGCGACGCCGCGUGGACGAAGAAGCCUUUCGGGGUGUAAAGUCCUUUUCUCGGAGAUGAGAUGGACAGUAUCCGAGGAAGAAGCCUCGGCUAACUACGUGCCAGCAGCCGCGGUAAUACGUAGGAGGCGAGCGUUGUCCGGAAUUACUGGGUGUAAAGCGCGUGUAGGCGGCAGGCCAAGUCUGUGGUGAAAUCGCUCGGCUCAACUGGGCGGGGUCCAUGGAAACUGGUCAGCUGGAGGACGGUAGAGGUGAGUGGAAUUCCCGGUGUAGUGGUGAAAUGCGUAGAGAUCGGGAGGAACACCCGUGGCGAAGGCGGCUCACUGGGCCGGUCCUGACGCUGAGACGCGAAGGCGUGGGGAGCGAAC